UUUUUUCCCUUGGAAUUAUUGUCAAUUUAGAUAAUGUGCCAUGGUGGGAAUCUUGAUUCUGCUUUUUAUUGGGGCUUACCUUAUAUUAAAGGCAGUGUUAUUUCAUAAAGAGGUUAAAGCUUUUAAUGUUUAAGAUGCUUUACUGUGGUGGUAGGAAGGAACCAAUCGGGGAAUGGGAUGUUUUCCUCGCAAGCCACAUAUGUGUUUGCACUUAAAUGUUGGUGAUUAAUUUGUCUUCUGCCCUUGAUGCCCUGGGAAGAUGCUAACUUUUUCUUAAUGUUCCACUUAUGAUUAUAGCCAGCAUCUUAACUUUAGGAUUGCAUUUAACAGAAAUAGUUUGCGAUGAUUUAUGACAUAGCCAUUUAUCCUAAAAGACUAAAGGUUAUGCUUUAAAAUACAUGCUGCAGGGGUUGCUUACCCUUUGUGGUAUUCAUGAUUCAGAAGGGAAACCUAAAUUGCUAUGCUCUUGCAAUGACAACUCUGUUUGCCUCUAUAACUAUGGUGCACAUUGAAGAUUUCCUCAAAGUCCACAUUCCUCAAGUUAGGAUACAGGCAGGUUGAAUCUGCAUUUGAGUACGCAAAGAUUUGCGGGAAGUUGGAUUGUUGUAAUUUCUUUGUUCUAAUGAAAGCAAGCAAACCCACUUACCAUGGUCCAAGCUUACUGUCUGUUUAUAGCUGAAAUAUAUGUUGAACGCUAAGACUAUCUUUACACUUGGUGGUGACUGAAGUUGGAGAACAUGAGGUCGGAAGAAUGAAAUCUGCAAUUGACAUUGAAAUCUUUCUUCAGGAUGGUUUCGGUGAUACAAACAACCUGAAGAGGAGAUAGACCCCCUACAGAAAAUUGUCCAACAUCAGUAAGGGAGCAGCCAAUCUCCAGCAAGUCGUGGUAGGAUUCUGAAUGGUCUUUAAUAAGUGGUCAUACUUGAAGAUGGCACUCUAUUAAUUCACUUCAAUGAUUUCUACGAG